ACGCGACCCCAGGUCAAGCGGGGCUACCCGCUGAGUUUAAGCAUAUCAAUAAGGCGGAGGAAAAGAAACUAACAAGNUUCCC
rnacentral:rRNA from 1 species